CCUCUUUUGCCUUAAUUCCCCAUACCACCCCCUUGGGUUCGCCUUUGAGGCCUUUUUCCCUAUUAUGUGUCCUUUAAAUAAAAAGGAUUUUUUUAAAUUUUCCAUCAAUGGUUUUGCCAUUUUGGAGAUUUGUUACUUUGAGUAAAUUAGAGUGUUCAAAGCAAACAGAUAUAGCAUUUGUGCGUUUGAAUACUACAGCAUGGAAUAACAAAAUUGAACAAGUCAAAAUUUUUGUUCUUUUUUCUUAUUUUGGCUUAGUUACGAUUAAUAGGAGUAGCUUGGGGGCAUUUGUAUUCAGAUGUCAGAGGUGAAAUUCUUAGAUUUUCUGGAGACAAACAACUGCGAAAUAAUUUCCCUAUUUUAAAUCUUUUCUUCAAGGCUAGUCGGUAGUUUAGUGAGUUAAGAUUACGAUCCGUCCCCGUCCUCUUCUUCCCCUUAACCUAUGCCGACUAGGCUUGAUUAACGGAAGGAUUUUUGGUAC
rnacentral:rRNA from 1 species